rnacentral:lncRNA from 1 species
UCGCGCGUUCGAGAAUUAACGAUAGAUUCUCGCUGCUUGUUCCGGAAAUUUCCAGAUACUCAACCGACGCCGGGAGGCAAGGCUCUGGGCUGAACUGAGGACAUUCAUAUAGAAUCAAAUGAGUGAGACACGGAAAAAUGGGAACUCGCUCUCGCCUGCCUUCUUCGUCAUCCACCGUCAAUACCGUCACCCAUUCUCGCAGCACCGGCAUGGAGGACAACCAAAGGCUCGUCAGCGCAGUGAACUUUUCUACGCCCAAAUUUGUUAUUGCGGGCAUAUUUCCUAUAAUUAGUUCUUUAAGAAAAGGAAGUUGCCCUAGCGGCGGGAGUGCGCUGCAUCCGGGCAUACCGGCAAGUCUGAUUUCAACGAGAUUUGGGAGGCACGAGCUAAUCCUAUUCAUCAUCCAGCUAGGAAACUUCCCGCCUCCAUAGCCUUGUAUUUCCAAUUUCUCUAGCUUUUGAUGUGGUUGAAGAUUUUCUAGCACGGUUUCGAUCUCUUCCGCCGGUAGUACAGUACUAUCCGUGCCUUCUUCCGCACUUAAAACGUUCCAUUCCAACUUCAAAGACCGCAGCUUCUUCUCUAUCAAAUUUGCAGCCUUGGCAUCAACCGGACUCGUUACAUUUUCAAGACCCUUGAUCUCCAGCCAGCCGACAAGCUUAAGGUGCUCUAGCUCAGAGAUGCUAGCACAAUGUUCGACGCGGUCUUGCUUGCCGACGACAAAAAGGGGUAAUUUCUGCAAGCUAACUAACUUGCCGAUCCCUCGAGGCAUGCCCUUCAAUUCCGAGCAAUCGGAGUUUAACAAUUCUUUUAGUUUGGUCAGCUUUUGGAUCAUUUUAGGCAGCUCACAUAAUUUUCCACAAUCACUGAUGUCGAGUUUCUCUAAAUGCUGAAGAUCACUUGACGAUGAGGGUAAUGAUAGUAGAGAAUAGCAUUUAGAAAUAUUCAGAACACGCAAGUUUUGAAGGCUCCCAAUGGAUUCAGGUAAUGUCACCAAAGAUCUUAGAUUUGAUAGGUUUAAGUCAUGCAGGUUUUUGAGAUCACAUAACGAUGAGGGUAAUGAUUCUAGAGAAUAGCAUUCAGAAACGUUCAGAAUACGCAAGUUUUGAAGGCUCCCAAUAGAUUCAGGUAAUGUCACCAAAGAUUUUAGACACGAUAGGUUUAAGUCAUGCAGGUUUUUGAGAUCACAUAACGAUGAGGGUAAUGAUUUUAGAGAAAAGCUGUUCGAAAGGUCCAGAAUACGCAAGUUUUGAAGGCUCCCAAUGGAUUCAGGUAAUGUCACCAAAGAAUUUAGACACGAUAGGUUUAAGUUACACAGGUUUUUGAGAGCACAUAAUGAUGAGGGUAACCAUUUUAGACAACAGCACCUAGAAAGGUUCAGAACACGCAAGUUUUGAAGGCUCCCAAUGGAUUCAGGUAAUGCCACCAAAGAGUCUAUAUUUGACAGGUCUAGGUAAUGCAGGUUUUUGAGGUGACAUAUAGGUUCAAGUGAUAUCACAUUUUCGCACAAACUCAAAUUUAGUGCGUACAAAUUCUGAAGGUUGCUAAUGGAGGUCAGAGAUAGGCAACCUCCUAAAUCUAAAAUCCGCAAAUUCGUAAGCCUUCCUAGAAAUUUGGGUAGUGUACGGAUCUUGCGGCAGCUUGAAAGAUUCAAGGUUUGCAAGUUGCAGAGGCCGGUAAUUGAUUUAGGCAAUUUUUCUAUAUCGGUCCCCGAAAGGUCGAGGUAUCUUAAGAGCUUCAACUUACCGAUUGAGCUUGGCAGCAUAGAAAUUUUGGAAUCACAUAAUUCCAACAAGCGUAAGCAUUUUGCCUCGCUAUAAAAGGCCAUAAUAAGUGAACUAGAUUCCCUAAACUGAAGAGCUCGCAACCUCCGCUUUACGGUAAUUGAAACAUCUGGCGUGCAACAACUGUGUAUCGAGACAUAGCGGCAGCCUUCCGUGAUCCUUAUCGACUCUUCUCCACCUAUAACAGCAACUUCUUCUUUUGCCACACCUAUAACAGCAACUUCUUCUUUUGCCACAGAUUGUGCGAGGUCGUGCACUAAAUCAUGCAUACGGCAGAUGGUAACAUUUCUAUAAUUUUUCCCCACGUCUUGAAGAAAAGACAUCCAUAAUAAAUUGUUAAAGUACUUAUUCCCAAUAUCUUCCAUCGAAGUCCAUGUUUCUUGCGAUGAAAUGAAGCCUAAAGCAAUCCAUUGCCGGAUCAAGUCAUCCUUGUUAAUCUUGUAGUCCUUGGGGAAUAUGGAGCAGUAAGCAAAGCACUGCUUCAAAGCCGACGGCAUCUGAAUAUAGCUCAAUUUUAAUGAUGGUAAAAUAAUUCUUUCUUCCGACCUCGAUAUUUCGCUUUCUUCCGACCUCCAUAUUUCACUAUCUCUAAUAGCGGACCAUGCAUCCUCUGUCCUGCUCUUAAAGCGCAUCAUACUUCCUAAAGCAUUCGCUGCUAAAGGCAAGCCACCACACUUCUUAACUAUCUGCUUUCCAAUUUCCACCAAAGUCGGAUAGCCGUUCUCUUCCCCUUCCUUGAAUGCCAGCCUUUUGAACAAUGUCCAACAAUCAUCAUCCGAUAAGCCUUUCACACGGUGUGGUUCGACUGUUCCCAUUAUCUCGGCAACCUUUUCGCUUCGUGUGGUUACUAAGAUUUUACUUCCCUGCCUGCCGUCCUUAAAUACAACCUUCAAACCAUUCAAACCAUUCCACUUCUGCUGAUCUUCGUUCCAUACAUCAUCCAACACCAGCAAGAAUCUCUUCUGGCUAAAGAUCCUGUCGAGAAAACUCGAGGCGGAUUCCAAGGUGUCAAGAUUGCACUCCUCUUUGGUUUCGGUUGCGGAUUUGACCGACCUUGCAAUCGUCUUUCUGUCGAAAUCGGUAGACACGCAGAUCCACACCCGUAGAUCGAAGGGCUGCUGGCCCGUAACCCGCCCGUCGGCGAAGGCCAGCCGAGCGAGCGUCGUCUUCCCCAAACCCCCCAAUCCCACGAUCGGAAUGACCGACACGUUGUGAUCGCAGCCCGUCUCCAGCAGUAGCUUCACAAUUUUCUCUUUAUCAUCAUCUCUCCCAACUAUUUCCUUUUCAUCGAAGAGCGAGGAUGUCUCACGGGGCUUGAACUCAGCCUGCCGACCAGGGCCAGCUUCGGCAAGACCGAAAUCAUUUCUUUGUUUCGCUAUCUUACCAAUCUUUUCUCUGAGCUCUUUCAUCCUGUGUGCCAUCUCGCGCUUAAACUUCAGAUGCAUCGGAUUAGCGCGGGACAGAAAUCCACGUACCUUUUCAGCUUCCGUCCGGAUCUCGUCCAGCAGGUCGUCGGCGUCGUAGGCGGCGUCCUUCAGUUNCAGAUUGUGCGAGGUCGUGCACUAAAUCAUGCAUCCGACAGGUGGUAACCUUUCUAUAAUUUUCCUUCACGUCUUGAAGGAAAGACAUCCAUAAUAGAUUGUUAAAGUACUGAUUCCCGAUAUCUUCCGUCGAAGUCCAUGUUUCAUGCGAUGAAAUGAAGCCUAAAGCAAUCCAUUGCCGGAUCAAGUCAUCCUUGUCAAUCUCAUAGUCUUUGGGGAAUAUGAAGCAGUAAGCGAAGCACUGCUUCAAAGCCGACGGCAUCUGAAUGUAGCUCAAUUUUAAUGAUGGUAAAAUAGUUCUUUCUUCCAACCUCCAUAUUUCGCUUUCUUCCAACCUCCAUAUUUCACUUUCUUCAAUAGCGGACCAUGCAUCCUCCGUCCUGUUCUUUGAAUACAUCAUACUUCCUAAAGCAUUCGCUGCUAAAGGCACGCCGCCGCACUUCUUUACUAUCUGCUUUCCGAUUGCGACCAAACUUGGAUAGUCGUUCUCUUCCCCAUCAUCGAAUGCCAGCCUUUUGAACAAUGUCCAACAAUCAUCAUCUGAUAAGCCUUUCACACGGUGUGGUUCGACUGUUUUCAUUAUCGCGGCGACCUUUUCGCUUCGUGUGGUCACUAAGAUUUUACUUCCCUGCUUGCUGUCCUUAAAUAAAUCCUUCAGUUUCUCCCACUUUUCCUGAUCUUCGUUCCAUACAUCGUCCAGCACCAGCAAACAUCUGAUCUGGCUAAAGAUCUUGACAAGGCACCUCGCGAUGGUGUCCAUGUUGUCAAGAUCAUCACAAUUCUCGACAAGGCGCCUCGUGACAUCACAUUUCUGUCGAGCUGCAGUUAUCACCCGCUUUCCAAUUGUCUUCGUGUCGAAAUCGGUAGACACGCAGACCCACGCCCGUAGAUCGAAGCGCUGCUGGCCCGUAACCCGCCCGUCGUUGAAGGCCAGCUGAGCGAGCGUCGUCUUCCCCAAACCCCCCAAUCCCACGAUCGGAAUGACCGACACGUCGUGAUCGCCGUUAGUCUCUAGGAGAAGCUUCACAAUUUUCUCCUUAUCACCAUCUCUCCCUACUAUUCUCUUUUCGUUGACGACCGAGUAUGUGUCAGGGCGUUUGAACUCAGCCUUCCGAACAGGGCCAGCUUCGGCAAGACCGAAAUCAUUUCUUUGUUUCGCGAUCUUACCGAUCUUUUCUCUGAGCUCUUUCAUCCUGUGUGCCAUCUUGACCUUAAACUUCAGAUGCAUCGGAUUAGCGCGGGACAGAAAUCCACGUACCUUUUCAGCUUGCGUCCGGAUCUCGUCCAGCAGGUCGUCGGCGUCGCAGGCGGCGUCCUUCAGUUUGCGCAGCCAGUGGCGCAGAGCGUGGCUCUCCUUCCCAGCGCUGCUCCGCUCCUCGGCGUCGAGAAGCACCGCCUGGAUCGCCGAGAAGUUGCUUCUGAGAUCGUCCGCGUCGUCCUUGAAGCUCCGCAGCAGCCCGAUUUCGUCCCAGAGAGCGGAGCCCAGCUUGCCCAGCACUCCUUUGACCAGAUCGAAUGCGAUCCCCUCCGCCAUUGCUAUUACCAAAGCAGCUAGCUAGCUAUGUGCUUCUUCUCAAUACAAACGUCCUAGCAGAGAAUAUAUGGGGAUGAUAGGUGGUUGCUCCAAUUAUCGUGCUGCUGCUCUGGUAACUACGCUUGGGAAUCGUUGACCAUUUGCACGCUAGUCCCACGAUCGUCUUUAAUUAUCCUAUUGUACAGAUUAUAAAAAUACGUGCUGUUGCUGCGGAUGAUAUAUAGGUGGUUGCUCCAAGCAGCUAGCCAUCUCGUCCCUCAAUGGCUCAAUCGUUGACCUUCACUUAUUUCCUCUUCCGGAGGGGAAAAAAAAAAACGCAAUGGAGAUGUUUCAGAUUUCUGAAAGAUGCUUAAAUGGUAUUAUUUAAGAAAUUAAAAAAGCAUGUUAAAAAGUUUUGAAUUUGAAUAAUUUGAAUCCGGAUUCAAAAAGGAAUAGUGAAUCUUAAGUUGAACCCCAAGAAAUUUUAAUUUUCAGAUCCNCUCAAAUGACUUAUUCAUGAACAGUAAUAUGCAAUAAAGAAAAAAGAGAGAGAGAAAUAAUACAUAUUCAUCCGACAUAGAAGGAGAGGAAUCUGCAUUAGCAGCUUCACUUAGACAAUUCGAAAGUUUUAUCCGAUGACUCCAUUUUGCCAUUCUGUAUCGAAAAAAUCUCCUAAUAUCAUCUAUGGUCUUCUCGAAAGAGGAUAAAAGAGGGCCUUAGACCAAGAACAGUCUCUUUCCUUUUAUAUAAAUAAAUAAAAUUAGGAAGAGUUCAGAAAUUUUGGGAUGCUAUUGGCUAUGAUAAUAAUAAAAAGACUCACUUUCUAAAGUUAAGCUUUCUAUCCUCCUUUAGGCUAUCAACGAAGCUUUAAUAACCAAGAGGUCUUGGCUUUUAUUACAUGCAUACCAUUAUUUAUUUGGAGUUUGAUAGUCAUGGCUAGCUUUUAUUACAUGCAUACCACUAUUUUGUAUUUGGGAGGUGAGAGGGGAGCAGUUUUGGAAGAUGAGAAGGUAGUAGUUUUGGGGAUUCAUUUAGUUUUAUUUCUUUUAUUAUGUUAUAUGUAUGGAGUUACAUGCAUAUAUAUUUAUAUUUCAAAACAGUUUUGGAAAAUGAAGAGGUAGUAGUUUUGGGAUUCAUUUAGUUUUAUUUUUUUUUAUAAAACUUUUAUUAUGUUAUAUGCAUGGAGUUACAUGUAUAUAUAUAUUUAUAUUUCAAACCAUCAUUAAAAACUUUUAUUAUGUUAUAUGCAUGGAGUGACAUGCAUAUAUAUAUUUAUAUUUCAAAUCAUCAUUAAAAAAUAUGAAAAAUCUAAAAAAAGAGAGCUUGCCAUGUCAUCAUUCUUAUUGAGGAUUCAUAUAGAGUUAUAGAUAUAUGCAGAGUGGGUUGGAAUGCUUAUGGAAGCACGGAGCCUCCCGUGCUUCCAAAUUGUUUUCGAUGUUCGGACUUUCGAAUCGACGAUCGGCUCCGUUAGAGUGGAUCUAGAUAUUUGAAAUACCUAGAAAAUAAAUUUUGUGAUUUUUCGAUAUCAUUUGCCUAAUGAUCGAAGAGGUUCAAAAUCAAUAAUUUUAAUGGCCUUGGUGAGCUGUUUGCAAGUUUAACGGUCUAGAAAUAUUCAAAUCACAUGAAAUUUUGAUAGAAAAUUUUUUAUACCAUAUAAAACAAGAUCAAUAACUUUGAUCUAAAUUUUUAAUGUCAUAUCAUCACAUUUUGUGAGAUUUUUAUUUUCAGCCGUUGAUUUUGAGCCCCUUCGAUUACUAGACAAAUGAUAUUGAAAAAUCACAAAAUUUAUUUUCUAGGUACUUCAAAUACUCUAGAUCAAGUCUAACGGAGCCGAUCGUCGAUUCGAAAGCCCCAACAUCGAAAACAAUUUAGAAGCACGGAGGCCUCCGUGCUUCCAUAAGCAUACCAGCCGCACUCUAUACAUGCAUAAAUAUAUGUUAAAUAAAGGUAUAUGAUAAGCAUCUAGUUGGCGAAAAAUUCUAAAAUGCAACGGGUAUAUUGGUGACGUGGCAUAACAAACCAAUCAAAUAUCUUUUUUUAGGGGUAUAUGUCCCAUCAUGAUUGUAAAAAAAUAUCUUUAUUGUAUUUUUGUUUGAAAAGAAGGAAUGUGAUUGGCUUGUUAUUGAUAACGUGGUGCAAAUGUGAUAGUGUAGAAUUCCUCAUGACUAGCUUAAUCGGAGAUGACCCUCGUAUAAUUGAAAGGGCGUAGUUAACAGGGUACCUAAGAGUACCCGGAAAGCGUAAACCCAUUUUUAUCUCUGAUGAUUGUUAUCUAUUGUGCUAUAUAUCUCUUUACUCGUUAUUAAAGAAUAUAUAGUUCAAAAAAAAUACAAAAUAAAAUAAGGGGAUAAAAAAAGUUGCGCCGUCAUAAAUUCUCACGUUCACCUUCACGUUUUAUUUAUUUAUUUAUUUAAAUUUUUCGUUUUUCCUAUUGUUCAUUUUUCGGGAAAACAAACGCGAAAUAAUUAUUUUCUCCAAAGACUUAAGCUGAUAAAUAAUUAUGUUUUUACAUUUCCUCACGUCUAAGUUCGACGUGGAGUUGAAUUAGCCGAGAGAAAAAUUAAUUAGGCUAGGAGCCUGGUAUAACUCAACCUUAGAAUUUUCUUAUUUGAUACCGUGUUAAAUUAUAUGAAACAAUAAUUUUCUUCAAAAACGUAAGUUCAUGGGGAAUAAUGUUUUUAUAUUUUUAUGUUUAACAAUCUAGCAUACAUGUAUCAAUGCCCUAUAAGGAUGCUUUGCUGAAUCCUGGACAGGGGCAGACCUACUGAGAGGCCGACAAUGGUCAUGGCCCCCUCAACUUUUUGAAAAUUACACAAGAGUUCCUAACUAUGACAUAGAAAAAACUUAAAUAUUAUAAAUUUUAGGGGCCAAAGUGAAAUCUUUUUGUAAAAAGUUUGUGCUGGUAUAAUAUAAAUAUAUUAUUUAUUCUCUUUAGUAACCGGAAUUAUUUACAAUUUACAAAGUAGGAUACUCUACAGUCACAAUGCAAAAGAAGGAGGAUGCCUUUCAGAUACAAAGCCACCUGCUGAAUUUCGAACUAAAAGUUGUAGAACUUACACAAAAGGAGGAUGCCUUUCAGAGUCUGCAAAGAGCUUAUAGUCUGUUUAUUGUUUUUAUUUGUUGCUACUCCUUUAUUUUGCUUUUUUAUUUUGCUUUGGUUUUUGUUCACUUUUGUUGUCACUUGAAGUAAAUCCUAAUGCAUCCAAGAUGCAUGUUGAUGGCAGCGAGAGAAAUGAAACUCUAGUAGGAUGAUGAAUCAAAACUUCAUGAAGGAGGAAUUUUUUUUUUAGACAUCAAUGUUAUUAAUCAAUUCUCUUCUAUUUAUGCACUCAUUCCAUUUAUGAUUUUGCAGCUUUACUAUUAUGCAGCUUUUCUUAAACUGUGAAGUGUAUGCCCAAUGAUGAUUCUACAUCAAAAGGCAAAUAUGUACGGAUUGCUUGAGACCAAUUUAGAUGCUAGCGUAGAACUAAAAGCAAUCUUAAAUACUACAGUUAUUUAGAAGUUUUAAGAUUGAAACUGUUUCAAUUUUUAACUUAGCUGCUAUUAGUCUAAACUCGUCAUCCAUCGACACCAAUAUCAGGUACAUCAACAGGAGAAGCAACUGCAGCAACAUCUCAAUUUCAAAAAAAAAAAAAAAUAGUAUUAAAGAGUGUCCAAAAUAAGCUGCUAACUCCAAAACUACUCAGAUUGAAGCAAAGAUCCAUCCAAUACUUAAAAUGUUUUUUUUUUAAAAAAAAACACCUAAUUAACUUGAACCAUUUAUUUGAAUAUUUUUGCAUAACACCUGGCUUGAACCAUUCAAUUAAUUUUUCGACGAAACACCUUGCUUUUGAAGCAUACAUAUCCAACAACGCAUUUCACUACAUAAUGCAUCAAUCCAUAACAAACUAUAAAUAUCACGAAUGGAUCCAUGCGAUACAUAAAUGCACUUGGUAGUUCAUACAUAAACAUCUCUUGCUAAUUAAGGCUUUGUCUCCUUUUUUCGCUCCACAAUUAUAUGCAGCCAUGUUUCUUUCUAUCUAUUGAGAGCUCAAAUUUCCUUUAUCUUAAUCAACCAUAUUCGGAUCUAGGUGUGGGGGGGAUGCUCUGUUCUUCACGACGAAGAAAGACCCCCCGCUUUGCAGAGGUCAUAUUGUUGUUGUUGUUGUUGUGUGUCUUAUUUUUGGGGAUAAAAGUGUAUGUAAUAAAUCUGAAAGUUUUGUCAUUUAAAAUUAAUUACCUAAUAUUUAAAAACUUUAAAUUAAUUUUACUCCCUAUUCUUUAAACGCUUUACAAUUUUGUUUUAUCAAAAAUCACUGCCCACACCUGGUGCAUCCAAACAGGUGUGCACCAGGGUUUUAUUCAUCCUUCAUUUUUUUCUUAUUUUAUUCCAGCCAUUUUAAUUUGUAAGUAUAAAAAAUUACAGACUUUGUUUGUGGCACCUGGUGGUUAGAAGCAAUAUUUCUAUAUUUUGAAUGGUCCAAAAACUUAGCUUUAAAGCCCUUUUAAUCUAUCCUCCUCUGAAGCUAUAAAAUUGUGUUUAAUUAUUACUGAAGAAACUAUGCGGUUAUAUUUGUGCGAUACCUUAAUAUUUCAUCCAUAUGUUUGAUUUUCAUAGAAUAUUUUUUCCGAUUGUUACAUUGAAAAUAUAGUAUACACCAAGGAUCAAUUAUGGCAUACUGUAUUUUCUAAAGGAAAAAAAAAAAGAAAAAAAAAGGCAGAGUGCACAUGCACUGGGUAUAUAAUUGGCAAUAAUUUCAUGAAACUCAAAUCAGAAAGAAUAGACAACAAAUCAAAAAAUUUUAAAAAUUUCACGGUUAUAUUUCCAAUAAAAUAAAAUUUAAGUUAAUUUCGUACAAUUUUCCUUUUUGUACUGUUGGUCCCAAAUGUUAGGUACUCGAAAAUGCUUUAUGGCAAUAAUAAUAAUAAUGAUAAUUUAACAUAUUUUGAAGUAAAUAUCUCUUUUAAUUUUCCGGAUUUCCUGAAUAAAAAGUAAAAAUUUAUAUAACUUACCCCAACUGUCAGUUAUUUUAAUAUAAUUAUCUAAUCUUUAAAAAAUUUAAUUUGCUAUAUAAUCUUUUAAUUUAUUUGAUUUAAAUCAAACUAAUGACUCUUUAGUUUUAAAAUUUAAACAUAUUUUUAAUUACGCAGAUAUAAAUUUAUGAAAAUGAAUAAUUAUUCUAAAUUUUAUAUUGAGAAAGAAAUCAAAUCACUUAAAUCAAACAAAUUAAAAUGUGCAACAGCAUAAAUCGAUAUUUCCAUUUAUACCACAUGUUUUGUGAAAACCUAACCGGAAAACAGCUCACUUCCGUUGACUCAGUUUGAUUUUAGUAAUAAAUUGAUUUCGGAUUUGGGGAAUUAAAAACUAAAAAUCUCGCGAAAAGCAAAAUAAUAAAAUUUUAGUACUUCAAUAUAUAUCAGCUUCAGAUCCAAUCAAAUAAAAGAAAGGGCUUUUUUUGCAAAUAGCCCCCUCACAAAUAUUUAUUUUAAAAUUGGUCCUGUCAAAAUUUAAUUUGCAAAAAUGAUCCUGAUCCUGCCACGCAAGCGCCACCUCAGCGCCACGCGGGCGGGGCUGGGCCAGGUGUUUAAGUUAAACACGGUGAAUUAUUCACCGUGUCCAAUACAAAUAGGUAUUUGUAUUAGACACGGUGAAUGAUUCACCGUGUCCAACAUAAAUAGGUAUUUGUAUUGGACACGGUGAAUGGUUCACCGUGUCCAAUACAACUAUUUGGGACUUGGCCAUUUUUUGGCUAAGUAGGUAUUUGUAUUGGACACGGUAAAUGAUUCACCGUGUUCAACAUUGCCCCAACCCCGCCUGCGUGGCGCUGACGUGGCGCCCAUGUGGAAGGGACAAGGCCAUUUUUGCAAUUUAAAUUUUGACAGGGCCAUUUUUGAAAUAAAAUUUUUUCAGGAGGCUAUUUGCAAAAAAAAGCCCUAAAAGAAAUGAUAAAAUAAAAAUAAAAAUGUAUGGAAACCCUCUCAAGUGCAGUAUAUAUAUAUAUAUAUAUAUAUAUAUAGAGUUGAGCUAGAAUACUCUCGAUAGUAAACAGGGUGUUUUACUAUCGAGUUGUUUUCGAUGAUAGAGCUUCCANUCUAACUUUUCGCCAUGUUUAUUAUAUUAAAUCCUUAUAGAAUUCAAAAGGAUACUUUAACCUUUUUGAUAAAAUAUUUUAAAAUUUAAUAAAAAAAUAUUUUUUUAUUUUAUGAAACAUUUUGCACUUCGUUUAACGGAAGAGACUAAAUUCUAAAAGGAUCUAACAAAUCUUCCAAAGAAAAUUUCUUAUAUCAAAAUCGAAUUAAAAUCGAAAUUCAUAAAGCCCAAUUGGCCACUUUCAAAGUGCAGUGUAAUUUAGAUAAUAUAUAAUAUCUUUUUACCUCCGGAUAAUAGCUAGGUACAUAUACUUGUGCUCUCCUCGCUAACCAAUCUUCUUCUCCACCUUCACUGAGCUCUCUUCCUCCUGUGGCGAGCUGCUCGCUUGUUUUUUGUACCAGUAAGAACUACACCACAACAACACAAAAUGGUUAUUUUUUAUCCGACGCUCAUGCAACAUGUGCUGUACAUUUUACUUAGACAUUUUAAUAAUGUAUGAUAUAUAAGAUACCUAAUUUCAAUUUGUAAAGAAAAAUAUCCCAGAAUUCAAAUAGUAUAUCAACAAUAUCACCGAAAAUAAUUACUUUGUAAAUACUAUAUAUCGUUCAAGUAGAAAUUUUCUGGCAUCUCAAAUCGCUACAAAUUAAGAAAAGAUUAGAAUUUCAUUAAUUAGUCUAUGCACAUGCAAGAGACCACUUGAAAAUUUUUCCAGGAAACCAACCAUGUUUUCGAAUAUCUGAAUUGCACUUUUGAUAUUGAAAUGUAGUUUAAUGUGUUUUCAUUUUGCCGCAGUACGUUUUAAAUAGUUUUACUUGAAAAUCCUAUGAUUUUAUAUAUAUAUAUAUAUAUAUAUAUAUAUAUAUAUNUUUUAUUUUGCUUUGGUUUUUGUUCACUUUUGUUGUCACUUGAAGUAAAUCCUAAUGCAUCCAAGAUGCAUGUUGAUGGCAGCGAGAGAAAUGAAGCGAGUAGGAUGAUGACUCAAAACUUCAUGAAGGAGAAAUUUUUUUUAGACAUCAAUGUUAUUAAUCAAUUAAUUCUCUUCUAUUUAUGCACUCAUUCUAUUUAUGAUUUUGCAGCUUUACUAUUAUGCAGCUUUUCUUAAACUGUGAAGUGUAUGCCCAAUGAUGAUUCUCCAUCAAAAGGCAAAUAUGUACGGAUUGCUUGAGACCAAUUUAGAUGCUGAGCUAAAACUAAAAGCAAUCUUAAAUACUAUUAUUAUUUAGAAGUUUUAAGAUUGAAACUGUUUCAAUUUUUAACUUAGCUGCUAUUGGUCUAAACUCAUCAUUCAAAGACACCAGUAGCAUCACCCAGUACAUCAACAAGAGGAGCAACUGUAGUAACAACUCUAUUUCAAAAAAUAAUAUUACAAAGUAUCCAAAACAAGCUGUUUACUUCAAAACUGCUCAGAUUGAAGCAAAGAUCCAUCCAAUACUUAACAAGUAUUUUUUUAAAAAAAACCCUAACUUGAACCAGAAUCUUUUGGCAACACACCUAGCUUAAACCAUUCGAUUAAUUUUUUGGCGAAACACCUAGCUUUUGAAGCAUACGUACACAUUGCACUGUUUAAUGCAUUCAUAACAAACUGCAAAUAUCACUAAUGAAUCCAAACAGUACAGGUAGGAAAGUAUAACCGUUACCAAGUUACCAUACAUAAAUGCACUUGUUAAUUUAUCGUACAUAAAACAUCUCUUGCUAAUUAAGGUUUUAUCACCUUUUUUAUUUUAAAAAAGCCUUUGCUCCACAAUUGUAUGCAGCAAGUUUUUGUUCUAUCUAUUGGAGAGCCAAAAUUUUCUCUCUUAAUCAACUAAAAUCGUAUCUUGGUGCACGGGAUGCCCUGUUCUUUAUGAGAAAGAAAGACCCUCUUUGCAGUGGUCAUGUUGUUGUUGUUGUUGCUGUGUUUUAUUUUUGGGUAUAAAAAUGUACUUAAUUAAUCUGAACUUUCAUAAUUUGAAAUUAAUUAUCUAAUAUUUAAAAAUUUAAAUUAAUUUGACUAUCUAUUCUUUAACGCUUUACGAUUUUGUUUUAUGAAAAAUCACUGCCUACACCUGGUGCAUCCAAACAGGUGUGCACCAAGGUUUUAUUCAUCCUUAAUAUUUUCUCUUUAUUUUAUUUCAUUCAUUUAAUUCGUAAGUAUAAAAAAUUGCAACUAACCCGACUUUCUUUAGGAACGUAGUGGUAAGAAGCAACAUUUUCAUAUUUUGAAAGGUCAAAAAAUUUUAAAGCUGCUUCUAAUCUUUUCUCCUCCGAAGCUAUAAAAUUGUGCUUAAUUGUUAUUAAAGAACUAUGCGGUUAUAUUUAUGCGAUACUUUAAUAUUUUAUCCACAUAUUUAAUUUUUAUAGCAUUUUUUUUUUCCCGGUUGUUAAGCUGAAACUAUAGUAUAAAUCAAGGAUCAAUUAAUAGUAAUAAUAAUAAUAAUAAUAAUAAUAAUAAUAAUAAUAGUUUAACAUAUUUUGAAGUAAAUACCUCUUUUAAUUUUCUAGAUUUCUUGGAUAAAAAAGUNAAUAAUAAUAAUAAUAAUAAUAGUUUAACAUAUUUUGAAGUAAAUACCUCUUUUAAUUUUCUAGAUUUCUUGGAUAAAAAAGUCUAAAUUUAUAUAACUUGCCCCGACUGUCAGUUAUUUUAAUCUGAUUAUCUAAUUUUAAAAAAUUUCAAUUUUGCUACAUAAUCUUUUAAUUUAUUUGAUUUGAAUCAACUAAUGAUUCUUUAGCUUUAAAAUUUUAAAUGUAUUUUUAAUUAUGCAAAUAUAAAUUUAUUAAAAUAAAUAAUUAUUCUAAAUUUUAUAUUAAAAAAGUAAUCAAAUCGCUUAAAUCAAAUAAAUUAAAUUGUGCGGCAACAUAAAUCUAUAUUCCCAUUUAAACCACACGUUUCGUAAAACCAAACGGGAAAAGCACCUCAAGUUUGAUUUUAGUAAUAAAUUGAUUUCAAAUUUGGGGAAUUAAAAACUAAAAAUCUUGCGAAAAGAAAAUUAAUAAAAUUUUAGUACUUCAAAAUAUAUCAUCUUUGGAUCCAAUCAAAUAAAAAAAAUGAUAAAAUUAAAAUAAAAAUGUAUGGAAACUCUCUCAACUGCGGUACAUAUCUAAUAGGUUCAACUUGCAUGCAAAAAGAACCUCUAAUUCAACAAGGGCAUAACAUACACAAUGUAUACAUACUAGUAAUAAACUCAUUUACUAAAAAUUAAUGUACCCUUUAAUAUCCGUAUUAAGAAAUAGCAACAUUUUGUUUAUUCAAACCAAACAAUCUUUUUUAGGCUCAUAACAUGUAUAGAGAACACUAUAAAAUUACAAACAAUCAAACCAAAUUACAAUUCUUGUCCGGAAAGCUAAAUAGCACCAACUUGAAAGAGAAGGCCACAAGUCCAUGAAUAAAAACUCUCACCGGUGCAUGUAGAUAUAUAAAAUUUGUUUUUUUCUGGAAAAAAAAGGGGAAAAAAAAAAGCUCUUCUCAAAGGGAAAUAGUGGUCACCAAAUAAGCUGAAAGAGAAUUAUUUUUAUGUGAGCUAUACUACACUUUGAGAUAAAUAACUGAACUUCAAAAAAUUUAAUUCUACUCUCUAACUUUUCUCCAUGUUUAUUAUAUUAAAUCCUUAUAGAAUGCAAAAGGAUACUUUAACCUUUUUGAUAAAAUAUUUUAAAAUUUAAUAAAAAAAUAUUUUUUUAUUUUAUGAAACAUUCUGCACUUCGUUUAACGGAAGAGUAAAGGAUCUAACAAAUCUUUCAAAGAAAAUUUCUUAUAUAAAAAUCGAAUUAAAAUCGAAAUUCAUAAAGCCCAAUUGGCCACUUUCAAAGUGCAGUGCAAUUUAGAUAAUAUCUAAUAUCUUUUUACCUCCAGAUAANACACACACACACACACACACACACACACACAUAAUAGGUCCAUCUUGCAUGCAUGCAAAAAAGAACCUCUAUUUAAACAAGGGCAUAACAUACACAAUAUACUAGUAAUAAACUCACUUACUAAAAAUUAAUGUACCCUUUAAUAUCCGUAUUAAAAAAGUAGCAACAUUUUGUUUAUUCAAACCAAACAAUCUUUUUUAAGCUCAUAAUUGUGUAGAGAACACCAUAAAAUUACAAACAAUCAAACCAUAUCAUAAAAUAGUACAUUCAGAAAUUUAAUUUAUAUCACGAAAAUACAUAUAUAUAUUAACCGACAAUAGCACACUACAACUCUUGUCCGGCAAGCUAAACAACACCAACCUGAAAGAGAAAACCACAAGUCCAUGAAUAAAAACUCUCACCAUUGCAUGUAGAUAUAUAAAAUUUGUUUAUUUUUGGCAAAACUAAGAAAAAAAAACCUCUUCUCAAAGGGGAAUAGCGGUCACCAAAGAAACUAAAAGAGAAUAAUCCUUACGUGAGCUAUACUACGCUUUGAGAUAAAUAACUGAACUUUAAAAAAUUUAAUUCUACUCUCUAACUUUCCGUCAUGUUUAUUAUGUUCCUUAUAGAAUUCGAAAGAAUACUUAGCAUUUUUUGAUAAAACAUUUUAAAAUUUGAUAAAAAAAUAUUUUUUAUUGUAUGAAAUAUUUUGCACUUUGUUUAAUGGAAGAGACUAAAUUUUAAAAGAAUCUACAAAUCUUUCGAAGAAAAUUUCUUUUAUCAAAAUGAGCAUAUAUAAGGUUUACGAAUUAAAAUCGAAAUUCGUAAAGCCCAGUUGCCCGCUUUCAAAGUGCAGUAUAGUUUAUGUAAUAUUUAAUAUCUUUUUACCUCCAAAUAAUAGGAACAUAUACUUAUGCUCUCCUCGCUAAUCAAUUCGAUCUGCUCCAACAAUUCCUCCAACUCUUCUUCUCCUCCUCUGACGAGCUGCUCACUAUGUCCUCAUAUCGGUAUUCCCUGCACCACAACAACGCAAAAUAGUAAAUUUUUUAUCCGAAGCUCGUGCAGCACGUGCUGUACAUUUUUCUUACACUUUCUAAUAAUGCAUGAUAUAUAAAAUACCUGAUUUCAAUUUGUAAAGAAAAAUAUUCCAGGACUCGAAUAGUGUAUCAACAAUAUGAUAGAAAAUGAUUACUCGGUAAAUACUAUAUAUCUUUUAAGUAGAAAUUUUCGGCAUCUCAAAUCGCUACAAAUUAAGAAAAGAUUAAAAUUUCAUUAUUUAGCCUAUAGACGUGCAAGAGACCGCUUGCAAAUUUUUUCAGGCAACAAACCAUGUUUUCGAAUAUCUUAGCUCCACUUUCACAUAGUUGAUAUUGAAACUGUGCAACAGCAAGCUGCUAUUGUUUCAAUUGUACAAAUUAGUAAAGUUGCAAUUGCUGCAAAAUUUGUGGAAAGAUAAUUCCCUCGUGUAAUCUAUGAACUACUUGUACAAGUAAAAUAUUUUGUUGAAUAGUAAUUUAGCAUAUCAAAACAGGAAGGAAUAAGAACAGGGUAAAACUAAACUUAAAAAUUAGAAUCACUCUGAAUAUAAAUAAAACAAAAUCUCACAAAUACAUAAAUGGAAGGUAGAAAUCAAAAUUAAUUCUCGAGAAAGUGAGGAUUGGAGAUUGUGACUAGCGAAUGGUNUUUUUUAUCCGACGCUCGUGCAACAUGUGCUGGACAUUUUGCUUAGACAUUUUAAUAAUGUAUGAUAUAUAAGAUACCUAAUUUCAAUUUGUAAAGAAAAAUAUCCAAGGACUCGAAAAUAAUUACUUUGUAAAUACUAUAUAUCGUUCAAGUAGAAAUUUUCUGGCAUUUCAAAUCGCUACAAAUUAAGAAAAGAUUAAAAUUUCAUUAAUUAGUCUAUGCACAUGCAAGAGACAACUUGAAAAUUUUUCCACGAAACCAACCAUGUUUUCGAAUAUCUUAAUUGCACUUUUGAUAUUGAAAUGUAGUUUAAUGUGUUUUAAUUUUGCCUCACUACGUUUUAAAUAGUUUUACUUGAAAAUCCUAUGAUUUUAUAUAUUUUUAGCAAGAACUUGCGGUCAAGUAAAAACUAAAGUGCUAAAAUUAUUUAUAAACUAUGGGAUAAUAAAAUGAUAUAUUUUAUAAAAUAAAAGGUGUCCGCCUAUAUCUAAAUAUAUUCUUUCAAAUAGUACUAUUAUGCUUUAUAAAAUAUACUACUUUACUAUCUUAUAAUUUAUAAAUUUUAGUACUUCAAUAUUUUUUGAUAGUAAGUCCUUACGGUGGAAUAAAGACACAACAAUAAAAUAGCAAAGUGAAAUAUUUUAUAGCAAAUGAAAAUGCACCGAGCCACGUCGGGGUGGGGCUAACCGAAGUUUUUCCAUCUGGAUUUAAAAAUAAAAAUUAAAGAAAGAGGUUGAUAUGCUAGCUACAAUAGAAUAUUAAGGUGCUAUCCAGCUAAUUAAUUAAAGAGUAGUCAAAAUAUGCUGCAUAAAUGAAACAAGAAAUAUUCACCAGUAGCUAUUAGAAGGGACUAUUAUUUUUUACUAGAAAUAUAAUAUUUUCUCUUUGAAUAUUCGUAUCUGCUGGCCAUGAAAACUUUCACCAGGUAUCAAUUACAACAAUUUGGAUAAAAGGCCGUGAAGCAAAGAAAAAUUCGGCGAAUUGGGGGUCAGGAGAACCAAAGAAUGCUGAGGCCACAAGGAGAUUGGAAGAAAAAGAAGGCCGUGAAGCGAGUGGUCUGGGCAGAUGAAGUCGGUAGGGAGUUAUUGGUGAGCAAGGUUCCCAUUAAUGGCGGAGUUUCGACGUUACCUGAUACUACAAGUUCCUUGGCUCGAGACGCACUUGAAGGAGUUACUGCUGAGUUACAAAGAGGAUACGGGGUAGGUGAGGGCGAUUCACCUGGCGAUCCUUGGAUGAGAAAUGUAAGGAGGGUGGGUGGAAGGUCCAAUUCUGUAUUUACUGAGGGUAGGUCCUAUAAAGAGGCGCUUCUGAGGGGUUCGGGACCACAACCCUCCAAGCCACCACCAAGUUCACAACACUCUUCCACCUUCUGGAGUACGAGGAGUAGCAAGUCCAGGAGAAGUGGCGGCAAGUGUUUCCGGUGCCUUGCUUCGGAUCACUGGGUAGCUGACUGCCGUGACCCUAUCAAGUGCAUCAGGUGCCACAAGUAUGGGCAUCGCGCCUCUAUCUGCAAGGAGAAAGCCGGACCAACUAGAGACAGGAUGAACAGGAUUCUACAGAGGCGAGAACGUACGCCGAGAGUGUACGUCCCUUAUACUCAAGAGUUUCUGCAAAGGAGGGAUCAACGCCGGAACGCGGUGCUGGCCGAUGUGAUCCAGCCGGCGAACUUAGGCCCUGAACCCACCUCUACCAUUGCCAAUGCGCUCGCCCGAAGGUUCGGGGGCUACACCCAAGACUUUCCGGUCUCCCGUUUUCGGGAGCGAGACUUUGCAAUUUUCCUCCCAGAAUGGGUGUCAGCGGAGGUGAUCGCUAGGAGGGAAAUACUCACCUUGGACGGCUUCUGGCUGCGAUGUUUUGCGUGGGGUCCUUACCGAGACGCGUGCCCACACCGAAUGGUAUAUCGAGCGUGGAUCAGGCUGAUUAACCUCCCAUUUGAAUGCUGGACCGUCCCUCAGGUGGCGGCGAUUGUGUGUGGGUUCGGAAGGUUCGUCAAGGCCGACGAGGUGACGAAGGCGAUGACGGACCUUCGGGCUUUCCGCUGCCAGAUUAUCCUGGACACACUGACCGACAUCCCGCAAAAUCUGUCGAUCGUCCUCGGAGAGGAACGUUUCCCGGUGAUGAUUCAUCUUGAAAGUUGGGAGCGGGCCAUCGACAAAGCUCGCGGUGACCCACCUGGCCCACCACCGGGGGGAAACGGCGAUGGCAACCAACAGGGUGAGGGGGAUCGGCCUGACAUUCAGGCCAACAUCGACCAAGAGAUGAACGAGGAAGCAACUGGUGAGGACGAAGGCGAGAUUGACGAUGACGGACCAGUAACUGCGCCGAGUCGACGUACAUCAAGCGGACUAGAGAAGCCGACAACCCUGUGUUCUCUGCCGUUCCGACGCUCCUCGCUUGGGCUGUUCGGGCCGCCUGCGCCGAGCCGCCGUUUAUCGGGUGGACCAGAGAAGCCAACACCGCAGUAUACUCUGCUGAUUCGGCGCCCCUCGCCUGGGCUGUUCGGGCAGGCGGUGACGACUGAACGGCGAGGGGGGGGAGCGGGCUGAGGUUGAUGAGGUCCGGAGGGGGCAGGCAGAGGUUGACGAGGGCGGAUCUGAGAAUAGGCCGAACCGCCGAUCGUCAGGUGGAUCUGAGGAGUCGCCGCCGCUGCGUUCGCCUGGGCUAGUAGGGCGGGCGGGGAGGCCUGGAACUCCUGUUUGGUCGCGCCAUCCACAGUGUUCUUCGCAAUGCUCCCCGCCUGCUCGGCGACCGCCGGUGAGGGCGCUAGGCUGGCUUCGGGACUGGCGAGUGCGAGGACCGAGGAGGGCCAGUGCAGGGCGCGUCAACCUAGGGCGCCGCCUGGGCGAUGGAUCAUGAAAUCCGGCGCUGUCUCACAGAGGGGAUUCGAAGGGAUGGGUGUAGUUCACUGUAUUCGGGGUCUUUCCCCACCCUUGCCAAAUUUAAUUAUGGCAGGGGUAGGGUCGGAUAGCUAUGAGAUGGGUAGGCCUUUAAUGCUUUGUAGGGGAGAUCAAGUGCUUCUGUGGGUAGGGGGAGCUCUUUUCAAAGUGGUGGUCAGCCCUUCUUUGGGAUUGCGUACCAACCUUGAGAACUGGGCCUCCUCUAUUGGGGUCAACAGGGGUGCAUUGCCAGCUAGUACACCGGGUGUUGGGGUGGCGGCCCACGACUCGAGCCUGGGGCUCGUGGACUGGUUCGUGACGACUGGAGGAGAUCAGAAUGGCCAAAGCUCUGUCCUUGGCGAGUGCACUAAGUCGUUGACUGAGGAAGGGGACGAAGCUGACCAUGCCAAGGAAAAGAGGUCCAACGGCUGGGAAGGGAUCUGGGCCUACUCCGGGAAAGGGUUAACCUCGUCGCCGAAGAAGACUUUAAUCACCCCUACUCGAGCUAGUGAGCGGCUCGCCUGUGCUGACAGGAUCCCUAUCCUUCGCAAAGCUCUAAACAGGAAGAAGCGGCUUCUAGAAGGAGGAGGUGGCAGGGUCUCCGAGAGCACGCUGCGGAAGAUAGUGCAUAAGAGCAAGCGUUGCGGGGUGAGACUGGACGGAACGGAGGCGAUGAACUUCGCCGAGUUUGAGAGCUUCUGAGCUCUGGAAGGGGCUAGUGGUCUAGGUUGUGGACACCUUUUGGUUUUAUUUUGGGAGUCGUGUCUACGUUAUUGUUAUGCUUAGUAUCUGUAGCUGGAAUGUUAGAGGGCUUAAUGAUCCCUCCAAACGCUUUGUGGUGCGGGAUGUAAUUUCGAAUUUACGCAACUCCGUAGUGUGUCUCCAGGAAUCUAAGGUUAAUCAUGUUUCGGGGUCUUUCCUCCGUAGCUUGGCAGGGUCCUUCAUCGACAAAUGUGUUUUUCUUGAAUCUAACGGUGCGUCCGACGGACUGAUUACUUGUUGGAGUUCCCGGGUCUUCAGUUGUAAAGAAGUAAUCGUCAGAAACUAUUCCAUCUCGGUUCUAUUGGAAUUGGUUAGCUGCGGAACACGUUUUUUUGUCACGAAUGUUUAUGGCCCGGCUUCUUGGGACGGCAAGGAGGACUUCUUUUCGGAAUUAUUGCUCUUGAAGGACUGUUGUAAGGGUAAAUGGGUAACGUGUGGGGAUUUUAAUUGUACGCGAGGACCACACGAGCGUAACGGAAAGACCUGGAGCUCGAGAGCGACGGUUUUAUUUAACAAUCUCAUCAGGGACCUCGAAUUAAUUGAUCUCCCCAUGACAAAUCAAGCGUUCACCUGGUCCAACCUUCAGAAGCCCCCGACCUUGGCUAGACUGGACCGAUUUCAUGUGUCAACUGAUUGGGAUCAGGAAUUUCCUUCUUCAAAAGUUAUCGGUCUCCCCAGAGUGGCCUCAGAUCACAGUCCCAUCCUUUUAUCGGUCACCAACCCUACGAAGAGGACGAGAUUGAUUUUCCGUUUUGAACAUGCCUGGCUUAACCACGAGGACUUUAGGUCCAAGCUGCCAGGAUGGUGGGAGGAGGGGCGUAAGCAUAGUUCAGCUGUUCUAACUUUCACCGCAAAAUUGAGACACUGCCGUAGAAGAAUUAUACAAUGGUGUACCCACGAAUUCUAUAGCAUUAGACGAGUUAAGAACAAACUCUUGGAAGACAUUCAGAACAUCGACAAAGAGAAAGAAACGAAUCUUUUAACCCAGGAGUUAGCCGUUACGAGGGAUGAGCUUAAGACAAAACUUGCCGCGGUGCUUAAAGACGAGGAAGUGCUAUGGAAAAGCAGAGCGAAACAACAUUGGCUACGGGAAGGUGAUAGCAAUACCAAAUUCUUCCAUGCCGUAGCCAACGGCCACAAAAGAACGAAUAGAAUUGACACUCUAGAUGAAGAAGGAAGGGUGUAUCAAUCGGAAGGCGAGAAGCAGAAGUUAAUCUUACAGAAGUUUAAGAAUCUCUUCACCCCUGAAGACUGGGCACCAUCCUCUUUUGGAGAUUGGAGUGAGCUCUUUUCAACAAGGCGGGUCGACUCUAGUAACCAUACGCACAUUACGAGACCUUUCGGUGUUGAAGAAGUGAAACAGGCUGUUUUCCAGCUAGGACGUGAUAAGGCGCCAGGGCCAGAUGGGUUCCCUCUGUGCUUCUACCAAAGCUUUUGGGAUACUCUUAAGGACGAUAUCAUGAACAUUUUCCACGAGAUGUUUGAGGGCACGCUAAACACCGNAGAUUCUCCUUGCUUGUUCUGUGAAUGGCCAGAUACGCAACCGACGCCGGGAGGCAAGGCUCUGGGCUGAACUGAGGACAUUCAUAUAGAAUCAAGUUAGCGAGACACGGAAAAAGGGGAACUCGCUCUCGCCUGCCUUCUUCGUCAUCCACCGUCAUUACCGUCACCCAUUCUCGC